UACGUAGGGGGCAAGCGUUGUCCGGAAUUAUUGGGCGUAAAGAGCGCGCAGGCGGUCGUUCAAGUCGCGUGUGAAAGCCCCCGGCUCAACUGGGGAGGGUCACGCGAUACUGAUCGACUCGAAGGCAGGAGAGGGUAGUGGAAUUCCCGGUGUAGUGGUGAAAUGCGUAGAUAUCGGGAGGAACACCCGGGGCGAAGGCGACUACCUGGGCUGUUUCUUGACGCUGAGGCGCGAAAGCUAGGGGAGCAAACGGG
rnacentral:rRNA from 1 species